UCCCGUGUUUGCUUUACCUCUUUCUUCCUCUAUCUCUGCAAGAGUACGUUUUGAUGCCUUUACCCUCUGCAAUUUCAGUACCGUUUCUAGAGUCUUCUUUAAUCCGACUUGGGGUCGAAACUGCUGCCUAUAAAUACCCCUUUAUCCCAAAAAAUUUUCCCGCUCUUUCUGUAAUCCUGUGACAGAAAGAAGCGCAAUUUUUGAAGGU
rnacentral:lncRNA from 1 species